GCUGUUAAGGGUUCGUAGUUGGGGCAGGAGACUUAGGUUAGGUUGGUCGUUCUCCGGAACCAUGCCAACUCUCACCUUGCUCGUUAGAUACGGAACAGAGCUCUUGCGGACACCUCUUCGGGGGUUGUGCACAACCGCAUAUAUCGUGCAGGGAGCAUCCGUAGCAUCACUGUGAACAAACAGCGUGUCCAAAGCAGCCUGAUGUAACGGCUGAAUGCAAAAGCAUGGAAUGACAAGGGUCGACCAUUGUGGCCAUCCCCCUUGUUGGUUUAUGAGGCCCAAAGGAGAGACGAGUUUGCGUGUCUAAUGUGUUCAAAUGGGGAGUCUUAGGGCAAACCGGAUGGCACAUAAGGCCGCUUCUCGCUGGGAUCAACAGGGGCUGUCGGGGGAAGACGUAUGGGAAUGCGAGAGGUGAAUUCUGUGACCAUUCCCAGACGAACCGAUGCGAAGGCUUCUUCCAAGUAUGCCUUCAUUAUCAAGAACCAAAGCGUGGAGAUCGAAGAUGAUUAGAGACCAUUGUAGUCC
rnacentral:rRNA from 1 species